UACGUAGGGGGCAAGCGUUGUCCGGAUUUAUUGGGUUUAAAGGGUGCGUAGGUGGUCCCAUAAGUCAGUGCUGAAAUAUCCCGGCUUAACCGGGAGGGUGGCAUUGAUACUGCGGGACUUGAGUAAAGUUGAGGUAGGCGGAAUUGACGGUGUAGCGGUGAAAUGCUUAGAUAUCGUCAAGAACACCUAUUGCGAAGGCAGCUUACUAAGCUUUAACUGACACUGAGGCACGAAAGUGUGGGGAUCAAACAGG
rnacentral:rRNA from 1 species